rnacentral:rRNA from 1 species
AUUGAACGCUGGCGGCAUGCUUUACACAUGCAAGUCGAACGGCAGCGCGGGCUUCGGCCUGGCGGCGAGUGGCGAACGGGUGAGUAAUACAUCGGAACGUGCCCAGUAGUGGGGGAUAGCUCGGCGAAAGCCGGAUUAAUACCGCAUACGACCUGAGGGUGAAAGCGGGGGAUCUUCGGACCUCGCGCUAUUGGAGCGGCCGAUGGCAGAUUAGCUAGUUGGUGGGGUAAAGGCCUACCAAGGCGACGAUCUGUAGCUGGUCUGAGAGGACGACCAGCCACACUGGGACUGAGACACGGCCCAGACUCCUACGGGAGGCAGCAAUGGGGAAUUUUGGACAAUGGGCGAAAGCCUGAUCCAGCAAUGCCGCGUGUGUGAUGAAGGCCUUCGGGUUGUAAAGCACUUUUGGCGGGAACGAAAAGGACUGUGCCAAUACCACGGUUCGAUGACGGUACCCGCAGAAUAAGCACCGGCUAACUACGUG